rnacentral:rRNA from 1 species
UAUCGAUAUGUGAAUACAUAGCAUAUCAGAAGGCACACCCGGAGAACUGAAACAUCUUAGUACCCGGAGGAAGAGAAAGAAAAUUCGAUUCCCUUAGUAGCGGCGAGCGAAACGGGAAGAGCCCAAACCAACAAGCUUGCUUGUUGGGGUUGUAGGACACUCUAUACGGAGUUACAAAGGACGACAUUAGACGAAUCAUCUGGAAAGAUGAAUCAAAGAAGGUAAUAAUCCUGUAGUCGAAAAUGUUGUCUCUCUUGAGUGGAUCCUGAGUACGACGGAGCACGUGAAAUUCCGUCGGAAUCUGGGAGGACCAUCUCCUAAGGCUAAAUACUCUCUAGUGACCGAUAGUGAACCAGUACCGUGAGGGAAAGGUGAAAAGCACCCCGGAAGGGGAGUGAAAUAGAACCUGAAACCGUGUGCUUACAAGUAGUCAGAGCCCGUUAAUGGGUGAUGGCGUGCCUUUUGUAGAAUGAACCGGCGAGUUACGAUUUGAUGCAAGGUUAAGCAGUAAAUGUGGAGCCGUAGCGAAAGCGAGUCUGAAUAGGGCGUUUAGUAUUUGGUCGUAGACCCGAAACCAGGUGAUCUACCCUUGGUCAGGUUGAAGUUCAGGUAACACUGAAUGGAGGACCGAACCGACUUACGUUGAAAAGUGAGCGGAUGAACUGAGGGUAGCGGAGAAAUUCCAAUCGAACCUGGAGAUAGCUGGUUCUCUCCGAAAUAGCUUUAGGGCUAGCCUCAAGUGAUGAUUAUUGGAGGUAGAGCACUGUUUGGACGAGGGGCCCCUCUCGGGUUACCGAAUUCAGACAAACUCCGAAUGCCAAUUAAUUUAACUUGGGAGUCAGAACAUGGGUGAUAAGGUCCGUGUUCGAAAGGGAAACAGCCCAGACCACCAGCUAAGGUCCCAAAAUAUAUGUUAAGUGGAAAAGGAUGUGGCGUUGCCCAGACAACUAGGAUGUUGGCUUAGAAGCAGCCAUCAUUUAAAGAGUGCGUAAUAGCUCACUAGUCGAGUGACACUGCGCCGAAAAUGUACCGGGGCUAAACAUAUUACCGAAGCUGUGGAUUGUCCUUUGGACAAUGGUAGGAGAGCGUUCUAAGGGCGUUGAAGCAUGAUCGUAAGGACAUGUGGAGCGCUUAGAAGUGAGAAUGCCGGUGUGAGUAGCGAAAGACGGGUGAGAAUCCCGUCCACCGAUUGACUAAGGUUUCCAGAGGAAGGCUCGUCCGCUCUGGGUUAGUCGGGUCCUAAGCUGAGGCCGACAGGCGUAGGCGAUGGAUAACAGGUUGAUAUUCCUGUACCACCUAUAAUCGUUUUAAUCGAUGGGGGGACGCAGUAGGAUAGGCGAAGCGUGCGAUUGGAUUGCACGUCUAAGCAGUAAGGCUGAGUAUUAGGCAAAUCCGGUACUCGUUAAGGCUGAGCUGUGAUGGGGAGAAGACAUUGUGUCUUCGAGUCGUUGAUUUCACACUGCCGAGAAAAGCCUCUAGAUAGAAAAUAGGUGCCCGUACCGCAAACCGACACAGGUAGUCAAGAUGAGAAUUCUAAGGUGAGCGAGCGAACUCUCGUUAAGGAACUCGGCAAAAUGACCCCGUAACUUCGGGAGAAGGGGUGCUCUUUAGGGUUAACGCCCAGAAGAGCCGCAGUGAAUAGGCCCAAGCGACUGUUUAUCAAAAACACAGGUCUCUGCUAAACCGUAAGGUGAUGUAUAGGGGCUGACGCCUGCCCGGUGCUGGAAGGUUAAGAGGAGUGGUUAGCUUCUGCGAAGCUACGAAUCGAAGCCCCAGUAAACGGCGGCCGUAACUAUAACGGUCCUAAGGUAGCGAAAUUCCUUGUCGGGUAAGUUCCGACCCGCACGAAAGGCGUAACGAUUUGGGCACUGUCUCAACGAGAGACUCGGUGAAAUCAUAGUACCUGUGAAGAUGCAGGUUACCCGCGACAGGACGGAAAGACCCCGUGGAGCUUUACUGUAGCCUGAUAUUGAAAUUCGGCACAGCUUGUACAGGAUAGGUAGGAGCCUUUGAAACGUGAGCGCUAGCUUACGUGGAGGCGCUGGUGGGAUACUACCCUAGCUGUGUUGGCUUUCUAACCCGCACCACUUAUCGUGGUGGGAGACAGUGUCAGGCGGGCAGUUUGACUGGGGCGGUCGCCUCCUAAAAGGUAACGGAGGCGCUCAAAGGUUCCCUCAGAAUGGUUGGAAAUCAUUCAUAGAGUGUAAAGGCAUAAGGGAGCUUGACUGCGAGACCUACAAGUCGAGCAGGGUCGAAAGACGGACUUAGUGAUCCGGUGGUUCCGCAUGGAAGGGCCAUCGCUCAACGGAUAAAAGCUACCCCGGGGAUAACAGGCUUAUCUCCCCCAAGAGUUCACAUCGACGGGGAGGUUUGGCACCUCGAUGUCGGCUCAUCGCAUCCUGGGGCUGUAGUCGGUCCCAAGGGUUGGGCUGUUCGCCCAUUAAAGCGGUACGCGAGCUGGGUUCAGAACGUCGUGAGACAGUUCGGUCCCUAUCCGUCGUGGGCGUAGGAAAUUUGAGAGGAGCUGUCCUUAGUACGAGAGGACCGGGAUGGACAUACCUCUGGUGUACCAGUUGUCGUGCCAACGGCAUAGCUGGGUAGCUAUGUGUGGACGGGAUAAGUGCUGAAAGCAUCUAAGCAUGAAGCCCCCCUCAAGAUGAGAUUUCCCAACUUCGGUUAUAAGAUCCCUCAAAGAUGAUGAGGUUAAUAGGUUCGAGGUGGAAGCAUGGUGACAUGUGGAGCUGACGAAUACUAAUCGAUCGAAGACUUAAUCAA